UGUCGACUUACAGCGCAGGAAACGGGAUCCCUGGACCACCGGGUCCACCGGGACGUCCUGGACUUCCUGGGCCACAAGGAAUUAAAGGGGACACAGGAGCUCCUGGCUUUUCUGGCUCUUCAAGAGGCUCCAUCUCAGUCACCUCAGGGCCUCCCGGCCCGGCAGGUCUUCCGGGUCCUCCUGGCCCCACGGGCUCCUUUUCAACUUCUAGUGAGAUGCGUCUGUACAUCAGUGACUAUCUAAGUAAGAGUUUUUCUGAAACAAAUGCUCACAGGCUGUCAGAGGUGCAGAACAGAGACUGAACCAGUUUUAUAUGUUCUUUGCAGGUAGAAGCAGACAGUCUAGUAUCCCCGGACCUCCAGGUCCACCUGGACUUCCAGGAACCCCAGGAACCCCAGGAACCUUCUCAGGCUCUAUCGAUGACAUCGCCACUCGUGUCAUUGCAUAUCUACAACGUAAGCCUGUGCUUCUCCCCAGAAAUGACACUAAUAAAUGACAGUUGGAGGCAUGUUUACGGAUGGCGCGGAAUCGUAGCAGAUCGGUUGCCACCAAUAACUGAGUUCUCCUUUUUUAGGUUCUGGCUCAGGCUCCAGCAUUGGUCGUCAGGGUCUUCCAGGACCACCUGGUCCACCUGGACCCGGCUCUGGGUCCCUGACGGUCAGCGGUCUCAUUAUGAUGCUUCAGAGAGACGAUGUGAGGAGAUAUCUAUCCGGACCACCAGGGCCACAAGGACCACCGGGACCACCCGGCCAAUCAGGUGGCAUUUCAAGCAGUUACAAUAUCGAGGAGAUAGCCACAUACGUCUUUAAUACGAUGAGAGAAAGAGGGAUUGCAAGAGGUCCGCCCGGACCGCCCGGUCCUGCUGGGCCUGCUGGUGCCGGGGGCUCUGGCUUCACUACCGCUACGAUUGACUAUACCGCACUGAUGAGAAAUUCAGACUUCCGCUCUUGGAUUAAUUCGGCGGUACAACACGGCCCUCCUGGUUCGCCUGGUGUCCCGGGGCAACCUGGCCCCCCUGGUCCUCAGGGGCCAGCAGGAGUCUCCACUUCCACUGUGGUUGGGUCGGGAGGUCGUGGCUACAGUUUGGAGGAAAUUCAGCGUUACCUGCAGAGUUCUGGUUUCCGAGGUAUUGCCGGCCCUCCUGGUCCUCAGGGUCCACAGGGACCUCAGGGUCCACCAGGCAGUUACAGUGGACUGAUUUCCUAUGAUGGAAAUCGGGAGCGUCUUCGCGCCGAAGUUCAAGAGUACCUGACCAGUGAGCUCCAAACGUCCCACGCAGACAGAUUGAAGACGCGCGAGCGUGGACAAGUGCAGAAAUCACCGAUAAACUUUUAUCUUUCAGGUGACGUUGUCCGUCGUUCCAUCAUUGGACCCCCGGGUUCUCCAGGGCCGAGGGGUCAGAAGGGAGAACAAGGAGAGCCGGGCUACACCCAGGGCUACGCCCAGAGCCAGAGCUACGCCGCGAGUGACCCUAGAUACGGCUCUGAGCGCCGCAGUGCCGACAUCAGCAGGCUCGCUGAGAACCUGGAUUACUCCAGCGUCGCCAUAAAAGUCACAGACUACAUCAAGAAUCAAGGCCUGCUGCAGGAGUAUCUGGUUGAGGGCCCUUUGAGGGCGAAUGUGAGAGCAAUCCAAGGCCCUCCCGGUCCACCUGGCCCCGCCGGACCUCCCGGUCAGAGCCGCGUCAUCGGUUCCUAUGGCAACGUCACGGCUGACCUCAUGGCGUUCUUCAGAACGUACGGCACCAUCUCCGGACCUCCAGGGGGCCCUGGACCAAAGGGUGACAGAGGGUACCCGGGACCCAGAGGAGAAAAGGGUACACGUACACAGAGCAGAUGA
ensembl:lncRNA